rnacentral:rRNA from 1 species
CAGGGAUUGCCCUAGUAACGGCGAGUGAAGCGGCAACAGCUCAAAUUUGAAAUCUGGCUCUUUCAGAGUCCGAGUUGUAAUUUGCAGAGGGCGCUUUGGCUUUGGCAGCGGUCCAAGUUCCUUGGAACAGGACGUCACAGAGGGUGAGAAUCCCGUACGUGGUCGCUAGCUAUUGCCGUGUAAAGCCCCUUCGACGAGUCGAGUUGUUUGGGAAUGCAGCUCUAAAUGGGAGGUAAAUUUCUUCUAAAGCUAAAUAUUGGCCAGAGACCGAUAGCGCACAAGUAGAGUGAUCGAAAGAUGAAAAGCACUUUGGAAAGAGAGUCAAACAGCACGUGAAAUUGUUGAAAGGGAAGCGCUUGCAGCCAGACUUGCUUGCAGUUGCUCAUCCGGGCUUUUGCCCGGUGCACUCUUCUGCAGGCAGGCCAGCAUCAGUUUGGGCGGUGGGAUAAAGGUCUCUGUCAUGUACCUCUCUUCGGGGAGGCCUUAUAGGGGAGGCGACAUACCACCAGCCUAGACUGAGGUCCGCGCAUCUGCUAGGAUGCUGGCGUAAUGGCUGUAAGCGGCCCGUCUUGAAACACGGACCAAGGAGUCUAACAUCUAUGCGAGUGUUUGGGUGUCAAGCCCGAGCGCGUAAUGAAAGUGAACGGAGGUGGGAACCCGCAAGGGUGCACCAUCGACCGAUCCUGAAGUUUACGGAAGGAUUUGAGUAAGAGCAUGGCUGUUGGGACCCGAAAGAUGGUGAACUAUGCUUGAAUAGGGUGAAGCCAGAGGAAACUCUGGUGGAGGCUCGCAGCGGUUCUGACGUGCAAAUCGAUCGUCAAAUUUGGGCAUAGGGGCGAAAGACU